rnacentral:rRNA from 1 species
GAUGAACGCUGGCGGCGUGCCUAAUACAUGCAAGUCGAGCGAAGAGAUGAGGCGCUUGCUCCUCUGACGGUACGGGCGGAUGGGUGAUUAACACGUGGAUAACCUACCUAGGAGACUGGGAUAACUUCGGGAAACCUGAGCUAAGAUCAGAGCAUAUAUUGAACGGCAUGGUUCAAUAGUUAUCGGCGGGUUGGCUGGCACUCAUACAUGGAUCCGCGCCGCAGGGGCGAGUUGGUAGGGUAACGGCUUCCCAAGGCAACGAGGCGUAGCCGACCUGGGAGGCUGAUCGGCCGCCCUGGAACUGGGCCACGGUCCAGGCUCCUACGGGAGGCCGCAGUCGGGAAUCUUCCGCAGUGGGCGAAAGCCUGACGGAGCAAGGCCGCGUGAGUGAUGAAGGUCUUCGGAUCGUAAAGCUCUGUUAUUAGGGAAGAACCAAUGUGUGAGUAGCUAUGCCCGUCUUGACGGUACCUACUCAGAAAGCCCCGGCUAACUACGUG